GCCUUUUAAAAUAGGCAUUUAGGCCGGGCACCGUGUCUCACGGUUGUAAUCCCAGCACUUUGGGAGGCCAAGGCGGGAGGAUCACCUGAGGUCAGGAGUUCGAGACCAGCCUGGCCAACUUGAUGAAACCUCGUUUCUACUAAAGAG